rnacentral:rRNA from 1 species
UUUACUGAUUGAUUAAUCGAAAUAAUUUUCAUUGAUUGAUUGGUUUAAAUUACUCGAAGUUUAUUUGAGCGAAAUUUAAGUCAGUAAUUGAUGAGCCGGAAUUGGCACCUUGUCUAUAAUAAGGUGCAAAAUGAUUUUAACUGAAGAGUUUGAUCAUGGCUCAGAUUGAACGCUGGCGGCAGGCUUAACACAUGCAAGUCGAGCGGGGGAAGGUAGCUUGCUACUGGACCUAGCGGCGGACGGGUGAGUAAUGCUUAGGAAUCUGCCUAUUAGUGGGGGACAACAUCUCGAAAGGGAUGCUAA